rnacentral:tRNA from 1 species
GGGGGUGUGGCGGAACUGGCAGACGCAGCGGACUUAAAAUCCGCCGGUGAUGAGCCGUGAGGGUUCGAGUCCCUCCACCCCCA